rnacentral:ncRNA from 1 species
UUGAGCGGAAUGAUUGGUAACAGUCACGUUCCGUUCUUAGGGGAGGGAGGUACAGUGAUGUAUCCUCUCUUACCCGAC